UCCAUAUCAUUCCAAAGGGUUCACAUACUUUUUCUUGCAACUGUAUAUAUAGAUAUAUAUAGUUGCAAGAAAAAGUAUGUGAACCCUUUGGAAUGAUAUGG